rnacentral:misc_RNA from 1 species
GAUGAAGAACGUAGCGAAAUGCGAUACUUGGUGUGAAUUGCAGAAUCCCGUGAACCAUCGAGUCUUUGAACGCAAGUUGCGCCCGAAGCCAUUAGGCCGAGGGCACGCCUACCUGGGCGUCACACGUCGUUGCCCCCCCAUCUACUCCUUCGGGAUUGCGGGGGGCGGAUGAUGGCCUCCCGUGCGCCUCGCCGCGCGGUUGGCAUAAAUGCCAAGUCCUCGGCGACGCACGCCACGACAAUCGGUGGUUGCGAAACCUCGGUUGCCCGUCGUGUGCGGUCGUCGCGCAUCGAGGGCUCGAAAAAAUUGCCGGGUUCCGGCUCGGCUUUCAACGCGACCCCAGGUCAGGCGGGGUUACCCGCUGAAUUUAAGCAUAUCAAUAAGCGGAGGA